AAAAACUUUACCAAGUUAACUUCGUAAACGAUGUUCCGGAAAGCCAGUGACAACGGCAAGGAAGGUAGGAGAACUUCUCCAACACCUCCAUCUUCGAUAUCCUCAGCUGCAAAAAAGUUGUAAGUGUAUUUUUUGUGCUUUCAUGUCCUUUGAGCUGAAGUCACCAACUCACCUUUUUUUCUUGCAGUUGCCUCGCUACUGUUGCUGUAAAUUGCGGUGCAAGGUUUUCUCAGAGCUGUCACAAGACCUGGUAAGUUUUCUCGCCACCAAUAACUUGUCCGUCUAUCACUUACGGUUAAGGUAUGUAAGUGCUAGAACGUAGAGUGCAUUGAACACCAGUGUUGAGAUAACCAGUCCUGCGAGUCCAAUCCAGUACCAUUCUGGAUUUGGAAACAUUCCUCGGGUCUUUAGCAAAACCUCCCCAACUGUGUGUGAAGUUCCAGUUCCAAAUGUUGGCUGCAUGUGUUUUCAGACAAUUAUCCAUUGUAGAUUGGUGCUUUCGUACCUUGCUCCACCGUUGCGCAUAGAACUCAUUGACAGCUAAAGCGUUCUGGCCAUACAUGUAAGGAGAUGUCCAGUAGCUCCAUAGCCACCAUGGUUGGAUGUUUUCUGGAGAGUCGUUUCUUAAAUACUAACCUUUAGUUUUCUUGCAGGAAGUACCUCUUGAUUUCAAAUAGCCUCCAUUUGCCACCGUUGUUAUGAAGAAGAAGAAACCGAACGUACUCGUAAUUGUUGGACUUCGAGCGAUGGCUCCAAUGCACCGAAACAUGGCGAACGAAGCUUGGUUCACCAAGAACAGUAGCACAAAGUGCUUGAAAAAUCUGUGAGUAGUCUCUUUAUCCCGCACUUUAGGACCAUAGGAAACUGACUUACCUGGUAAACUCGGGAGCAAACCCAACUCCCCAGUAUGUAAUGCAGGUCCAGAUUGCCACGUCCAUGAAACUCAUCGGGAUCCUGAAAAAUAUCGUUGGCAAUGCCCAAGACCAAGCGGGAUAAAACUGCGAAUCUCGUUGCUUGUAAAAGGCUUGAAGUCUCGUGAUUGUGAGUGUCAUCUCAGGUAAUCCACGGUACAUGAUAUUCAUGAUCAUGUAGAACAGAACACCCAUAAAUUUGUUUGCAUCUUGGACGGUCUCAUGAUGCAUUGUUGUUCGCAGGAAUAUGGUCGAGACAAUCACCGCUAUAAUCGAGCCCUUUAAAAAAUAAUGGUGUUGGUUUCCUUUUUAUUAAAAAGGUGAGACUCACCUGAAUUACGUUGCUAGUCACAUGAACGUAGAGAUUACGUUUUAUCAGUAUGAUUUCUCUUGAGCAGCAGGCCAGAAACAGCUUCCAGGAACUCAUCUUUGGUUCCUUUUUCCCUGCAGGAUAAACUUUCUUCAAGUCCUUGAGCGUGAAUUCAUCAGCCCGGUAUCGUUGAAAAGCAGCAGCAAAAUCUUUUCCCGAUACAAACCGGUAAGCUUCUUUAUCACCGCACCAAUAACCUUUUUGAUCUUUUCUUGACACUACCUGCAUUUCCCAAGACUUUAGAGGAACAUGAAUGUGUUGUAUACGACUGACCUCUUGUAAAUAAUCUGCUACUCCUUUUCUUGCAGGACAUUUGAAGCCUUGGGCCUCAAGAAAUUGUAGAACACCUUCUCGAGUUCCAUGGUAUACUAUAUGUCCUUCCGCAAGGAGUAUAAGAUCGUCAA
rnacentral:lncRNA from 1 species